CCCUAGCCCCGAUAGAAGUGGAAAUCCUUUUGUGGCGGGGUUCGCCACAAAAGAUUACUUCACUUAAUUUUAUUUUAUUUCGGAGUUCAGUGAACUUCGUUUGAAACGGAUAGCGGGAUUAGCU
rnacentral:sRNA from 1 species